CGGGGAAUUAGGGUUCGAUUCCGGAGAGGGAGCCUGAGAAACGGCUACCACAUCUAAGGAAGGCAGCAGGCGCGCAAAUUACCCAAUCCUAAUACAGGGAGGUAGUGACAAGAAAUAACAAUACAGGACUUUUUGGUUUUGUAAUUGGAAUGAGUUAAGUAUAAACCCCUUUACAAGUAUCAAUUGGAGGGCAAGUCUGGUGCCAGCAGCCGCGGUAAUUCCAGCUCCAAUAGCGUAUAUUAAAGUUGUUGCAGUUAAAAAGCUCGUAGUUGGAUUUCUGUUAAUAAUUUAUAUAAAAUAUUUUGAUGAAUAUUUAUAUAAUAUUAACAUAAUUCAUAUUACUAUAUAUUUUAGUAUAUGAAAUUUUACUUUGAGAAAAUUAGAGUGCUUAAAGCAGGCAUAUGCCUUGAAUACUCCAGCAUGGAAUAAUAUUAAAGAUUUUUAUCUUUCUUAUUGGUUCUAAGAUAAGAAUAAUGAUUAAUAGGG
rnacentral:rRNA from 1 species